rnacentral:rRNA from 1 species
GGGGGGGGGGGGGCAAGCGUUGUUCGGAUUUACUGGGCGUAAAGGGCUCGUAGGCGGGCCAUUUAAGUCGGUUGUGAAAUCCCUCGGGCUCAACCGAGGAACUGCGGCCGAUACUGGGUGGCUUGAAGCCGGGAGAGGGAUGCGGAAUUCCAGGUGUAGCGGUGAAAUGCGUAGAUAUCUGGAGGAACACCCGUGGCGAAGGCGGCAUCCUGGACCGGUCUUGACGCUGAGGAGCGAAAGCUAGGGUAGCAAACGGGAUUAGAUACCCCGGUAGUCCUAGCCCUAAACGAUGAAUGCUUGGUGUGGCGGGUAUCGAUCCCUGCCGUGCCGUAGCUAACGCGUUAAGCAUUCCGCCUGGGGAGUACGGUCGCAAAGGCUG